GACGAACGCUGGCGGCGUGCUUAACACAUGCAAGUCGAACGACGAAGCCCAGCUUGCUGGGUGGAUUAGUGGCGAACGGGUGAGUAACACGUGGGCAACCUGCCCCAAACUCUGGGAUAACUCCUCGAAAGAGGUGCUAAUACCGGAUACGAACUAGACAGACAUCUGUACUAGUUGGAAAGUUUUUCGGUUUGGGAUGGGCCCGCGGCCUAUCAGCUUGUUGGUGAGGUAACGGCUCACCAAGGCUACGACGGGUAACCGGCCGGAGAGGGCAAACGGUCACACUGGGACUGAGACACGGCCCAGACUCCUACGGGAGGCAGCAGUGGGGAAUAUUGCGCAAUGGGCGAAAGCCUGACGCAGCGACGCCGCGUGAGGGAUGAAGGUCUUCGGAUCGUAAACCUCUUUCAGUAGGGACGAAGCGAAAGUGACGGUACCUAAAGAAGAAGCACCGGCUAACUACGUGCCAGCCGCCGCCGUAA
rnacentral:rRNA from 1 species